AUACAUAUUAAAAGACAACAAAAUGUGGAGUUUACUUGUACUUGUUAUAACCCUUAGUUUUUUUAACAUUGUAUAUUCAAUUUCUACAGUCUGGUAUGAAUCAUGUGGUUCAUCCCCUUUAAAGAACCUUAAGGGAUGUACCCGAAGGACGAAUAGGAUAAUAAACGGAGUACCAGUUGAGAAGGGGGGAAAUACCUUGGCAGGUAUCUGUUAUUAAUGAAUAUGACAGACUUCCGAUGAUUACUAAUUGUGGAGGAUCGAUCAUUGGUACUAAACAUGUUUUAACUGCUGCUCAUUGCUUUGAAGGAAUAGUUGUGGAUCAUGUUAGACAUAAUCCGAAAUUUGAAUUGAUUUUUGUUUACGCAGGAGGAAUAACAGAUUUACAAUCAGGAAAAAAAUAUAGUGUAAAGAAAGUUGUAGUACAUGACAAAUUUAGAAGACUUCAAUAUAACCUUAUCCAUGAUAUAGCGGUCAUAACAAUGCAGACGGAGUUUGAAUUUGGAUCAACUGUCCAACCAAUUUGUUUACCGUUCAUGAAACCUUCGGCUCCCGAUGCAGGAUCACUUGUUGUAGCUAGUGGUUGGGGUCACACGAAACCUAAGGAUUCUGCAUGUUCUUCUAAUCUUUUGAGAGCUGACUUACAAGUCUACAGUUUUGACAGAC
rnacentral:lncRNA from 1 species